rnacentral:rRNA from 1 species
UACGUAGGGUGCAAGCGUUAAUCGGAAUUACUGGGCGUAAAGCGUGCGUAGACGGUUAUUUAAGUCGGGUGUGAAAGCCCCGGGCUCAACCUGGGAAUUGCAUUCGAGACUGAAUAGCUAGGGUACGGUAGAGGGAAGUGGAAUUUCCGUUGUAGCGGUGAAAUGCGUAGAUAUCGGAAGGAACAUCAGUGGCGAAAGCGACUUCCUGGACCAGUACCGACGUUCAGGCACGAAAGCGUGGGGAGCAAACAGG